CGAACUGUGCGAACGUUAUUCGGAAUCACUGGGCUUACAGGGUGCGUAGGCGGCUGCUCAAGUCAGGUGUGAAAGCCCCCGGCUCAACCGGGGAAUUGCGCUUGAAACUGGGUGGCUCGAGUCAGCUAGAGGUGCACGGAACUUCCAGUGGAGCGGUGAAAUGUGUUGAUAUUGGAAGGAACACCGGAGGCGAAAGCGGUGCACUGGGGCUGGUCUGACGCUGAGGCACGAAAGCCAGGGUAGCGAACGGGAUUAGAUACCCCGGUAGUCCUGGCCGUAAACGAUGAGUGCUGGACGGGAGGGGGUUCGCCCUUUCGGUCGGAGCGAAAGCGUGAAGCACUCCGCCUGGGGAGUAUGGUCGCAAGGCUG
rnacentral:rRNA from 1 species